rnacentral:rRNA from 1 species
AUUGAACGCUGGCGGCAUGCCUUAUACAUGCAAGUCGAACGGCAGCACGGGUGCUUGCACCUGGUGGCGAGUGGCGAACGGGUGAGUAAUACAUCGGAACAUGUCCUGUAGUGGGGGAUAGCCCGGCGAAAGCCGGAUUAAUACCGCAUACGAUCUACGGAUGAAAGCGGGGGACCUUCGGGCCUCGCGCUAUAGGGUUGGCCGAUGGCUGAUUAGCUAGUUGGUGGGGUAAAGGCCUACCAAGGCGACGAUCAGUAGCUGGUCUGAGAGGACGACCAGCCACACUGGGACUGAGACACGGCCCAGACUCCUACGGGAGGCAGCAGUGGGGAAUUUUGGACAAUGGGCGAAAGCCUGAUCCAGCAAUGCCGCGUGUGUGAAGAAGGCCUUCGGGUUGUAAAGCACUUUUGUCCGGAAAGAAAUCCUUGGCCCUAAUACGGUCGGGGGAUGACGGUACCGGAAGAAUAAGCACCGGCUAACUACGUG